UACAGAGGUCCCAAGCGUUGUUCGGAUUCACUGGGCGUAAAGGGUGCGUAGGUGGUGAGGUAAGUCGGAUGUGAAAUCUCGGAGCUCAACUCCGAAAUGGCAUUGGAAACUACCUCGCUAGAGGAUCGGAGGGGAGACUGGAAUUCUCGGUGUAGCAGUGAAAUGCGUAGAGAUGCGGAGGAACACCGAUGGCGAAGGCAGCCCCCUGGGCCAACACUGACGCUCAGGCACGAAAGCGUGGGGAGCAAACAGG
rnacentral:rRNA from 1 species